rnacentral:rRNA from 1 species
GACGAACGCUGGCGGUGUGCUUCAUACAUGCAAGUCGAGCGAUAAGGCCCCUUCGGGGGUACAUAAGCGGCGGACGGGUGAGUAAUACGUAGGAAAUCUGCCUUAAGGAGGGGGACAACAUCGGGAAACUGGUGCUAAUACCCCAUAUGAGAUAUCUUGAAAUGGAUAUCUUGAAAGUUCCGGCGCCUUAAGAUGGGCCUGCGGCUGAUUAGCUAGUUGGUGGGGUAAAUGCCUACCAAGGCGACGAUCAGUAGCUGGUCUGAGAGGAUGAUCAGCCACAAUGGGACUGAGACACGGCCCAUACUCCUACGGGAGGCAGCAGUAGGGAAUUUUGCGCAAUGGGCGAAAGCCUGACGCAGCAACACCGCGUGAGCGACGAAGCCCCUUGGGGUGUAAAGCUCUGUCAGUGGGGACGAAGCCUGACGGUACCCACAGAGGAAGCAUCGGCUAACUACGUGCCAGCCGCCGCGGUAAUAC